AUUGAACGCUGGCGGCAGGCCUAACACAUGCAAGUCGAACGGUAACAGAAAGCAGCUUGCUGCUUUGCUGACGAGUGGCGGACGGGUGAGUAAUGUCUGGGAAACUGCCUGAUGGAGGGGGAUAACUACUGGAAACGGUAGCUAAUACCGCAUAACGUCGCAAGACCAAAGAGUGGGACCUUCGGGCCUCUUGCCAUCGGAUGUGCCCAGAUGGGAUUAGCUAGUAUGUGGGGUAACGAAUCACCUAGGCGACGAUCCCUAGCUGGUCUGAGAGGAUGACCAGCCACAGUAGAAAUGAGACACGGUCCAGACAAGAGCAGGAGGGAGAAGAGGGGAAUAUUGAGCAAUGGGAGCAAGGAUAAGGCAGAAAUGAAGAGUGUAUGAAGAAGACCUACAGGUGGAAAAAGACUUUCAGAGGGGAGGAAGGGAGUAAAGUGGAGACAUUAGAUCAUUGAAGUUACAGGCAGAAGAAGCACAGGCUAACUCCGUG
rnacentral:rRNA from 1 species